CAGGGAGCUAGGAACAAAAUAUAGCACAAUGAAUCAUGCCAGAACAAAAUAUGUGCUAGUGCUUCGGAAUUUUGUGGAACAUUUGAAACGAAAUUUUUUUAAUGUAUGUGCUGUGUGUUUUCUCAAUAUAAUUCACAGCUAAAAUGGAGAAGCGUAGUCACUCAAAGUCUCAAAGAAUGGAACUACUGGUAUAUAUUAAGCUCAUUGAGUUGGAAACUGCAAGCAUCCAGCAAAGUCAUCCAUUUCAAUAUCAGCACAGCUCAUCCUUAGCAUAAUCAGAGCAGUUGCAAUUUCUGUUUUAAGGGAAUUGAAAGCAAAAGAGACUGAUAAGGCCAUAAAUGGUUUCUUCAUUGUAGAGAAGGUGUCAAGGUGAGGUGGUUGUUCCCACACAACAACAUAUUUGCUUUUGCUUUUGUCAUUGUUGAAUUGAUAAUUGGUGUUUGAUAUCAUCUUUCCUUCCUGAAUUGUUUUGACCUUGGAGUUACUGGAUUUUCAUUUUGCAUGAGAGAGUUCUAAGGUGUGUUGAACUGCUGAGGGACCUGUACUUGAUCAAUAUUGCUGUUAUUUUAGAUACAAUUUUGUACUUUCA